rnacentral:tRNA from 1 species
UGCCUCUUCGUAUAACGGUAAUACGUCAGAUUUUGGUUCUGAACAUAAAGGUUCGAUUCCUUUAGAGGCGA